GACGAACGCUGGCGGCGUGCCUAAUACAUGCAAGUAGAACGCUGAAGGAGGAGCUUGCUUCUCCGGAUGAGUUGCGAACGGGUGAGUAACGCGUAGGUAACCUGCCUGGUAGCGGGGGAUAACUAUUGGAAACGAUAGCUAAUACCGCAUAACAGUAGAUAUUGCAUGAUAUCUGCUUGAAAGGUGCAAUUGCAUCACUACCAGAUGGACCUGCGUUGUAUUAGCUAGUUGGUGAGGUAACGGCUCACCAAGGCGACGAUACAUAGCCGACCUGAGAGGGUGAUCGGCCACACUGGGACUGAGACACGGCCCAGACUCCUACGGGAGGCAGCAGUAGGGAAUCUUCGGCAAUGGACGGAAGUCUGACCGAGCAACGCCGCGUGAGUGAAGAAGGUUUUCGGAUCGUAAAGCUCUGUUGUAAGAGAAGAACGAGUGUGAGAGUGGAAAGUUCACACUGUGACGGUAUCUUACCGGAAAGGGACGGCUAACUACGUGCCAGCAGCCGCGGUAAUACGUAGGUCCCGAGCGUUGUCCGGAUUUAUUGGGCGUAAAGCGAGCGCAGGCGGUUAGAUAAGUCUGAAGUUAAAGGCUGUGGCUUAACCAUAGUACGCUUUGGAAACUGUUUAACUUGAGUGCAAGAGGGGAGAGUGGAAUUCCAUGUGUAGCGGUGAAAUGCGUAGAUAUAUGGAGGAACACCGGUGGCGAAAGCGGCUCUCUGGCUUGUAACUGACGCUGAGGCUCGAAGGCGUGGGGAGCAAACAGG
rnacentral:rRNA from 1 species